rnacentral:rRNA from 1 species
AUUGAACGCUGGCGGCAUGCCUUACACAUGCAAGUCGAACGGCAGCACGGGUGCUUGCACCUGGUGGCGAGUGGCGAACGGGUGAGUAAUACAUCGGAACGUACCUUAUCGUGGGGAAUAACGCAGCGAAAGUUGCGCUAAUACCGCAUACGCCCUGAGGGGGAAAGCGGGGGACCGUAAGGCCUCGCGCGAUUAGAGCGGCCGAUGUCUGGUUAGCUUGUUGGUGAGGUAAAAGCUCACCAAGGCGAUGAUCAGUAGCUGGUCUGAGAGGACGAUCAGCCACACUGGGACUGAGACACGGCCCAGACUCCUACGGGAGGCAGCAGUGGGGAAUUUUGGACAAUGGGGGCAACCCUGAUCCAGCAAUGCCGCGUGAGUGAAGAAGGCCUUCGGGUUGUAAAGCUCUUUUGUCAGGGAAGAAACAGCAGCUCUAACACAGUCUGCGAAUGACGGUACCUGAAGAAUAAGCACCGGCUAACUACGUGCCAGCCGCCGCCGUAA